AAGUGUCCCCAUGUCUCCCAGUGUCCCCAUGUCUUCCAGUGUCCCCUAGUAUCCCAGUGACCCAGGACACACUGAGACAUGGGGACACUGGGAGAAAUGGGGACACA